rnacentral:tRNA from 1 species
GGGCUGUUAGCUCAGCUGGUAGAGCAGCGGACUCUUAAUCCGUAGGUCGGCGGUUCGAACCCGCCACAGCCCACCA